rnacentral:rRNA from 1 species
GAUGAACGCUGGCGGCGUGCCUAAUACAUGCAAGUCGAGCGAGCGGACGAGAAGCUUGCUUCUCUGAUGUUAGCGGCGGACGGGUGAGUAACACGUGGAUAACCUACCUAUAAGACUGGGAUAACUUCGGGAAACCGGAGCUAAUACCGGAUAAUAUUUUGAACCGCAUGGUUCAAAAGUGAAAGACGGUCUUGCUGUCACUUAUAGAUGGAUCCGCGCUGCAUUAGCUAGUUGGUAAGGUAACGGCUUACCAAGGCAACGAUGCAUAGCCGACCUGAGAGGGUGAUCGGCCACACUGGAACUGAGACACGGUCCAGACUCCUACGGGAGGCAGCAGUAGGGAAUCUUCCGCAAUGGGCGAAAGCCUGACGGAGCAACGCCGCGUGAGUGAUGAAGGUCUUCGGAUCGUAAAACUCUGUUAUUAGGGAAGAACAUAUGUGUAAGUAACUGUGCACAUCUUGACGGUACCUAAUCAGAAAGCCACGGCUAACUACGUGCCAGCAGCCGCGGUAAUACGUAGGUGGCAAGCGUUAUCCGGAAUUAUUGGGCGUAAAGCGCGCGUAGGCGGUUUUUUAAGUCUGAUGUGAAAGCCCACGGCUCAACCGUGGAGGGUCAUUGGAAACUGGAAAACUUGAGUGCAGAAGAGGAAAGUGGAAUUCCAUGUGUAGCGGUGAAAUGCGCAGAGAUAUGGAGGAACACCAGUGGCGAAGGCGACUUUCUGGUCUGUAACUGACGCUGAUGUGCGAAAGCGUGGGGAUCAAACAGGAUUAGAUACCCUGGUAGUCCACGCCGUAAACGAUGAGUGCUAAGUGUUAGGGGGUUUCCGCCCCUUAGUGCUGCAGCUAACGCAUUAAGCACUCCGCCUGGGGAGUACGACCGCAAGGUUGAAACUCAAAGGAAUUGACGGGGACCCGCACAAGCGGUGGAGCAUGUGGUUUAAUUCGAAGCAACGCGAAGAACCUUACCAAAUCUUGACAUCCUUUGACAACUCUAGAGAUAGAGCCUUCCCCUUCGGGGGACAAAGUGACAGGUGGUGCAUGGUUGUCGUCAGCUCGUGUCGUGAGAUGUUGGGUUAAGUCCCGCAACGAGCGCAACCCUUAAGCUUAGUUGCCAUCAUUAAGUUGGGCACUCUAAGUUGACUGCCGGUGACAAACCGGAGGAAGGUGGGGAUGACGUCAAAUCAUCAUGCCCCUUAUGAUUUGGGCUACACACGUGCUACAAUGGACAAUACAAAGGGCAGCGAAACCGCGAGGUCAAGCAAAUCCCAUAAAGUUGUUCUCAGUUCGGAUUGUAGUCUGCAACUCGACUACAUGAAGCUGGAAUCGCUAGUAAUCGUAGAUCAGCAUGCUACGGUGAAUACGUUCCCGGGUCU